UACGGAGGGUGCGAGCGUUAUCCGGAAUCACUGGGCGUAAAGGGCGCGUAGGCGGUCUGCUAAGUCCGAUGUUAAAGACCGGGGCUCAACCCCGACACGGCGUUGGAUACUGGCAGGCUUGACGGCUGGAGAGGAAAGUGGAAUUACCAGUGUAGCGGUGAAAUGCGUAGAUACUGGUAGGAACACCCAUUGCGAAGGCAGCUUUCUGGACAGUUAGUGACGCUGAGGCG
rnacentral:rRNA from 1 species